GAUCUUUUUCAAUGUUAGUAUUAACUACAAGCAGUGGUGUAGCACACUGGUUCAGACCUGACUUCCACACUGGAAAGAAUGCAAAUCUUGCACUGACAGAGCAGAGCUUGAGUCACUCUUGCAACUAAACCAUGCCAAGCUGCAAGUUACAGCUUGGACUCCAUUGAAAGCCUUAGCUGAAGCUUUAGCUUUCUUAAAAACUCAAGAACUUUCCCAUCAAAUGUCAUCUGAUAAUGAGAUUGGGAAGAGACCUUAUGACCUGACAGGUUCACAGAAGUUGCAGUAUUUUCAGAGGUAUUUGGAAUGAUCUUUGUUGUAAAGAUAUCUAAGAAUAUACAGACAGCUUGUCUCUAGGUGUUGACUGAAGUGGAAUAGUGCGCCAAACAGAUUUCUUCCGUGCAAUGAAAAAUUAUGAAAGUUGAAUCAAAAAGCAUUUGAAGUUUUGAAGGCAUCUGUGAUCCAGAACACUGAAAAGAUAUUCCAUGAAAGUAUAAUGGGAUGCUUCUGUGAAAGCAAGCAGGAGAAGUGCAAUCCUGAUCUACUGGAGAAAAAACGGCAAUCAUUAACUGCAGCUUCUGGUAGCACAUCUCACAUUCACAGUAUCAAUCUUAAUCGUUGAGAUUCCACCCUUAUAAAUCCAUGCUGAUAGUUAUUUCCAAGCAUUACACUGCUGCAAGACAAAUUUGGGUAAGAAGAGGUAAAAA